AACGAACGCUGGCGGCAUGCCUAACACAUGCAAGUUGAACGAGAUCUUCGGAUCUAGUGGCGCACGGGUGCGUAACGCGUGGGAAUCUGCCCUUUGGUUCGGAAUAACCGUUGGAAACGACGGCUAAUACCGGAUGAUGACGUAAGUCCAAAGAUUUAUCGCCAGAGGAUGAGCCCGCGUGGGAUUAGCUAGUUGGUGUGGUAAGAGCGCGCCAAGGCGACGAUCCUUAGCUGGUCUGAGAGGAUGAUCAGCCACACUGGGACUGAGACACGGCCCAGACUCCUACGGGAGGCAGCAGUGGGGAAUAUUGGACAAUGGGCGAAAGCCUGAUCCAGCAAUGCCGCGUGAGUGAUGAAGGCCUUAGGGUUGUAAAGCUCUUUUACCCGGGAUGAUAAUGACAGUACCGGGAGAAUAAGCUCCGGCUAACUCCGUGCCAGCAGCCGCAGUAAGAC
rnacentral:rRNA from 1 species